UACGAACUGUGCAAACGUUAUUCGGAAUCACUGGGCUUACAGGGUGCGUAGGCGGCCUGACAAGUAGGGUGUGAAAGCCCCCCGGCUCAACCGGGGAAUGGCGCCCUAAACUGUCGGGCUGGAGUGAGAUAGGGGUGUGCGGAACUUCCGGUGGAGCGGUGAAAUGUGUUGAUAUCGGAAGGAACGCCGGUGGCGAAAGCGGCACACUGGAUCUCAACUGACGCUGAGGCACGAAAGCCAGGGGAGCGAACGGG
rnacentral:rRNA from 1 species